GGCUCAUUGGUCUAGUGGUAUGAUUCCUGCUUUAGGUGUAGGAGUCCCCGGGUUCAAAUCCCGGAUGAGCCC
rnacentral:tRNA from 1 species